AUACGGAGGAUGCGAGCGUUAUCCGGAUUUAUUGGGUUUAAAGGGUGCGCAGGCGGCCAUUUAAGUCAGCGGUUAAAUCGUGGGGCUCAACCCCAUUCUGCCGUUGAUACUGGGUGGCUUGAUUGCGGUCGAGGUUGGCGGAAUUCGUUGUGUAGCGGUGAAAUGCAUAGAUAUGACGAAGAACACCGAUUGCGUAGGCAGCUGACCAGACCGCAAAUGACGCUCAUGCACGAAGGUGCGGGGAUCGAACAGGAUUAGAUACCCUGGUAGUCCGCACAGUAAACGAUGAAUACUUGUUUUCGGCGAUAUAAUGUCGGAGGCAAAGCGAAAGCGAUAAGUAUUCCACCUGGGGAGUACGCCGGCAACGGUGAAACUCAAAGGAAUUGACGGGG
rnacentral:rRNA from 1 species